rnacentral:tRNA from 1 species
AUUUAUAUAGUUUAUAAAAAAAACAUUAUAUUUUCAUUAUAAAAAUAGAAAUUUUCUUAUAAAUA